rnacentral:rRNA from 1 species
AACGCGAAGAACCUUACCAAGCCUUGACAUACACCGGAAACAUUCAGAGAUGGGUGCCCCGUAAGGUCGGUGUACAGGUGGUGCAUGGUUGUCGUCAGCUCGUGUCGUGAGAUGUUGGGUUAAGUCCCGCAACGAGCGCAACCCUCGUUCCAUGUUGCCAGCAACACUUUUAGUGGUUGGGGACUCAUGGGAGACUGCCGGGGUCAACUCGGAGGAAGGUGGGGAUGACGUCAAAUCAUCAUGCCCCUUAUGUCUUGGGCUUCACACAUGCUACAAUGGCCGGUACAAAGGGCUGCGAUACCGCGAGGUGGAGCGAAUCCCAAAAAACCGGUCUCAGUUCGGAUUGGGGUCUGCAACUCGACCCCAUGAAGUCGGAGUCGCUAA